UGUGUGGUGGAUGUUCUCUUGCUGUGUCGCGUGCAACAAGAACGGUAGAAGAGUUUCUGAACUCCGGUCGCCUCGGCAGUGGGCCAUUGGCCAGCAAAGUCGCGUUUUCCUAAACCCAUAGUUCAUACCGUGUCGUCUGGCGUGGACGUAGACCACUGUUGGGUGCUGUGUCGCGUACAAGAACCGUGGAAGAAUUUCUGAACCCUGUCCGCCCCGGCAGUGGGCCAUUGGCCAGCAAAGGCACACAGCGAUCGGACUGAGCAUAUCAAGUAGCCCCUCCUGUGACCCACAAGACCACACUAAUUCGGCCGAGGAGCCUGUCUGGACUUAUGUUGGGACUGCUGGCAGACAGUUUGUUUUUUCUGGACUUAUGUUGGGACUGCUGGUGGACAGUUUCUGUUUUUU